UACAUGGGGUGCAAACGUUGCUCGGAAUUAUUGGGCGUAAAGCGCACGUAGGCGGUUCGUUAAGUCGGAUGUGAAAGCCCUCGGCUCAACUGAGGAAGUGCACCCGAAACUGGCGAGCUUGAGUACGAAAGAGGAUCGCGGAAUUCCCGGUGUAGAGGUGAAAUUCGUAGAUAUCGGGAGGAACACCGGUGGCGAAGGCGGCGAUCUAGGUCGAUACUGACGCUGAGGUGCGAAAGCGUGGGGAGCAAACAGGG
rnacentral:rRNA from 1 species